rnacentral:rRNA from 1 species
GUGACUGCGUACCUUUUGUAUAAUGGGUCAGCGACUUAUAUUUAGUAGCAAGGUUAAGCGAAUAGCGGAGCCGUAGCGAAAGCGAGUGUUAACUGCGCGUUUAGUUGCUAGGUAUAGACCCGAAACCCGGUGAUCUAGCCAUGGGCAGGUUGAAGGUUGAGUAACAUCAACUGGAGGACCGAACCCACUAACGUUGAAAAGUUAGGGGAUGACUUGUGGCUGGGGGUGAAAGGCCAAUCAAACCGGGAGAUAGCUGGUUCUCCCCGAAAUCUAUUUAGGUAGAGCCUCGGACGAAUUCCAUUGGGGGUAGAGCACUGUUAAGGCUAGGGGGUCAUCCCGACUUACCAACCCUUUGCAAACUCCGAAUACCAAUGAGAACUAUCCGGGAGACACACGGCGGGUGCUAACGUCCGUCGUGAAGAGGGAAACAACCCAGACCGCCAGCUAAGGUCCCAAAAUAUUGCUAAGUGGGAAACGAUGUGGGAAGGCAUAGACAGCUAGGAGGUUGGCUUAGAAGCAGCCACCCUUUAAAGAAAGCGUAAUAGCUCACUAGUCGAGUCGGCCUGCGCGGAAGAUGUAACGGGGCUAAGCAAUAUACCGAAGCUGCGGAUACGUGUUUACACGUAUGGUAGGGGAGCGUUGUGUAAGUGGAUGAAGGUGGAUUGAGAAGUCUGCUGGACAUAUCACAAGUGCGAAUGCUGACAUGAGUAACGAUAAUGGGAGUGAAAAACUCCCACGCCGGAAGACCAAGGUUUCCUGUCCCAUGCUAAUCAGGGCAGGGUAAGUCGGCCCCUAAGGCGAGGCAGAAAUGCGUAGUCGAUGGGAAACGGAUUAAUAUUUCCGUACUUAUAUAAUCAGUGAUGGAGGGACGGAGAAGGCUAAGCAAGCUUGGCGUUGGUUGUCCAAGUGAAAGCAAGUAGGCCGAGUGUUUAGGUAAAUCCGGACACUUAAAGCUGAGAUGCGAGACGAGCUACUACGGUAGUGAAGUUGUUGAUGCCCUGCUUCCAGGAAAAGCUUCUAAACUUAUGAUUAUAUGAACCGUACCCCAAACCGACACAGGUGGUCAGGUAGAGAAUACUAAGGCGCUUGAGAGAACUCGGGUGAAGGAACUCGGCAAAAUUGUACCGUAACUUCGGGAGAAGGUACGCCCUUGUUUGUGAUAGGACUUGCUCCUUGAGCAGAUGAGGGCCGCAGUGACCAGGUGGCUGGGACUGUUUAUUAAAAACACAGCACUCUGCUAACUCGCAAGAGGACGUAUAGGGUGUGACACCUGCCCGGUGCCGGAAGGUUAAUUGAUGGGGUUAUCUUCGGAGAAGCUCUUGAUCGAAGCCCCGGUAAACGGCGGCCGUAACUAUAACGGUCCUAAGGUAGCGAAAUUCCUUGUCGGGUAAGUUCCGACCUGCACGAAUGGUGUAACCAUGGCCACGCUGUCUCCACCCGAGACUCAGUGAAAUUGAAAUCGCAGUGAAGAUGCUGUGUACCCGCACCUAGACGGAAAGACCCCGUGAACCUUUACUACAGCUUGGCACUGAACAUUGAACCUACAUGUGUAGGAUAGGUGGGAGGCUUCGAAGCACAGUCGCUAGAUUGUGUGGAGCCGUCCUUGAAAUACCACCCUUGUAUGUUUGAUGUUCUAACAUUGGUCCCUUAUCGGGAUUAUGGACAGUGUCUGGUGGGUAGUUUGACUGGGGCGGUCUCCUCCCAAAUAGUAACGGAGGAGCACGAAGGUUAGCUAAUCACGGUCGGACAUCGUGAGGUUAGUGCAAUGGCAUAAGCUAGCUUAACUGCGAGACAGACACGUCGAGCAGGUACGAAAGUAGGUCAUAGUGAUCCGGUGGUUCUGUAUGGAAGGGCCAUCGCUCAACGGAUAAAAGGUACUCCGGGGAUAACAGGCUGAUACCGCCCAAGAGUUCAUAUCGACGGCGGUGUUUGGCACCUCGAUGUCGGCUCAUCACAUCCUGGGGCUGAAGUCGGUCCCAAGGGUAUGGCUGUUCGCCAUUUAAAGUGGUACGCGAGCUGGGUUUAGAACGUCGUGAGACAGUUCGGUCCCUAUCUGGUGUGGGCGUUGGAUGAUUGAUGGGAGCUGCUCCUAGUACGAGAGGACCGGAGUGGACGAACCGCUGGUGUUCGGGUUGUCAUGCCAAUGGCAUUGCCCGGUAGCUACGUUCGGAACGGAUAACCGCUGAAAGCAUCUAAGCGGGAAGCCGGCCCAAAGAUGAGUCAUCCCUGACUUUUAAAGUCCGGAAGGGUUGUUAUAGACGAUGACGUUGAUAGGCAGGAUGUGGAAGCGUUGUAAGGCGUUAAGCUAACCUGUACUAAUUGCCCGAGAGGCUUAACCAU